GACGAACGCUGGCGGCGUGCUUAACACAUGCAAGUCGAACGGAAAGGCCCUGCUUUUGUGGGGUGCUCGAGUGGCGAACGGGUGAGUAACACGUGAGUAACCUGCCCUUGACUUUGGGAUAACUUCAUGAAACUGGGGCUAAUACCGGAUAGGAGCUCCUGCUGCAUGGUGGGGGUUGGAAAGUUUCGGCGGUUGGGGAUGGACUCGCGGCUUAUCAGCUUGUUGGUGGGGUAGUGGCUUACCAAGGCUUUGACGGGUAGCCGGCCUGAGAGGGUGACCGGCCACAUUGGGACUGAGAUACGGCCCAGACUACUACGGGAGGCAGCAGUGGGGAAUAUUGCACGAUGGGCGGAAGCCUGAUGCAGCAACGCCGCGUGCGGGAUGACGGCCUUCGGGGUGUAAACCGCUUUCGCCUGUGACGAAGCGUGAGUGACGGUAAUGGGUAAAGAAGCACCGGCUAACUACGUG
rnacentral:rRNA from 1 species